AACGAACGCUGGCGGCAGGCUUAACACAUGCAAGUCGAACGCCCCUUUCGGGGGGAGUGGCAGACGGGUGAGUAACGCGUGGGAACGUGCCCUUCAGUUCGGGAUAACCCAGGGAAACUUGGGCUAAUACCGGUUACGUGCGAGAGCAGAAAGAUUUAUCGCUGAAGGAUCGGCCCGCGUCUGAUUAGCUAGUUGGUGGGGUAAUGGCCCACCAAGGCGACGAUCAGUAGCUGGUCUGAGAGGAUGAUCAGCCACAUUGGGACUGAGACACGGCCCAAACUCCUACGGGAGGCAGCAGUGGGGAAUAUUGGACAAUGGGCGCAAGCCUGAUCCAGCCAUGCCGCGUGAGUGAUGAAGGCCUUAGGGUUGUAAAGCUCUUUCGUCCGGGACGAUAAUGACGGUACCGGAAGAAGAAGCCCCGGCUAACUUCGUGCCAUCCGCCGCGGUAACAC
rnacentral:rRNA from 1 species